UUUUUACUGGGAUAGUGUAGUUAACCAUUUUAUUAACCAUUUUAUAUCAACAAGACUAAGAUCUAGAUCUCGAUAAGCCAGAGAGUUAUGAGUAGUUUACCUCCCAGACCUUUUUUUGUACUAGUGGAGGUUAACCUCAUAGAAUAUCUAUUUAUUUAUUUUUAAGUAUCGUUUGUCCUUUUUUAUAAACCAAUGUAGAAGGGACAUUAUCGUACCCCUAUUUAGAAUUCCAAUUUACUGUGUAAGGAAUAUAAACCCUAACUUUACUGUUCGCUUAUGCUUUUAGGUGAUAAGUCCAUUUUCUUUUAAUUUUGGGUCUUUACAUCAGUAAUUCUCCUUUUUACCUGCUUAUUGGAACCACU
rnacentral:lncRNA from 1 species